UUUCCCCCUAUUUUCAAAGGCAAAAGAAAUUAACACUUUCUCAAAUUUUCAUUGUACCCCUCUACUGAGUAUCGGCCCAUAAAUCUCCAUCUAGGCCACCAUCACACCGCUGGUUCCACUGCUACCAAAUCCAACAUCGACUGAAAUUUUCUUCUCCAUUGACCCAAUACCUACAUCUAAGAAAGAGAGAUUUCAGCAUUCAAAAGAUCCAGGUACCUUGACUCAGACUUACCAUCCUUGAGGUGAGGCGACCCUUCGGAGACUUCGAGAUGGUGAUGACACGUGCUAGCCGAGAUGAUUAGGCACCAGUGCCCCAUACUGCAACCGUCAGAGGCCGGGGCCAGGGUAAAGGCCGAGGACGCGCACGUGGUGCAGCUAGAGCACCUACGCGAGCUACCGCCGAGGUACCACCAGCAGAUCUAGCUGGAGUUCAGGAACCUAAUACGCCUACUGCUACUACUACUCCAGCACUUCAGAAGACUCUGGCACAGUUCAUGAGCAUAUACACCAUGU